rnacentral:rRNA from 1 species
UACCAGCACCCCGAGUGGUCGGGACGAUUAUUGGGCCUAAAGCAUCCGUAGCCGGUUCUGCAAGUCCCCCGUUAAAUCCAGCUGCUCAACAGAUGGGCCGCGGAGGAUACUACAGAGCUAGGAGGCAGGAGAGGCAAGCGGUACUCAGUGGGUAGGGGUAAAAUCCGUUGAUCCAUUGAAGACCACCAGUGGCGAAGGCGGCUUGCCAGAAUGCGCU